rnacentral:rRNA from 1 species
GACGAACGCUGGCGGCGUGCUUAACACAUGCAAGUCGAACGGAAAGGCCCUGCUUUUGUGGGGUGCUCGAGUGGCGAACGGGUGAGUAACACGUGAGUAACCUGCCCUUGACUUUGGGAUAACUUCAGGAAACUGGGGCUAAUACCGGAUAGGAGCUCCUGCUGCAUGGUGGGGGUUGGAAAGUUUCGGCGGUUGGGGAUGGACUCGCGGCGUAUCAGCUUGUUGGUGGGGUAGUGGCUUACCAAGGCUUUGACGGGUAGCCGGCCUGAGAGGGUGACCGGCCACAUUGGGACUGAGAUACGGCCCAGACUCCUACGGGAGGCAGCAGUGGGGAAUAUUGCACAAUGGGCGGAAGCCUGAUGCAGCAACGCCGCGUGCGGGAUGACGGCCUUCGGGUUGUAUACCGCUUUCGCCUGUGACGAAGCGUGAGUGACGGUAAUGGGUAAAGAAGCACCGGCUAACUACGUG